ACGGGAGGCAGCAGUGGGGAAUAUUGCACAAUGGGCGCAAGCCUGAUGCAGCAACGCCGCGUGAGGGAAGACGGUUUUCGGAUUGUAAACCUCUGUUCUUAGUGACGAAGAAGUGACGGUAGCUAAGGAGCAAGCCACGGCUAACUACGUGCCAGCAGCCGCGGUAAUACGUAGGUGGCAAGCGUUAUCCGGAAUUACUGGGUGUAAAGGGAGCGCAGGCGGGAUAGCAAGUCAGCGGUGAAAUGUAUGGGCUUAACCCAUGAACUGCCGUUGAAACUGUUAUUCUUGAGUGGAGUAGAGGCAGGCGGAAUUCCGAGUGUAGCGGUGAAAUGCGUAGAUAUUCGGAGGAACACCAGUGGCGAAGGCGGCUUACUGGACUGUAACUGACGUUGAGGCUCGAAAGCGUGGGGAGCAAACAGGAUUAGAUACCCUGGUA
rnacentral:rRNA from 1 species